rnacentral:rRNA from 1 species
CGGGCGCGGCGCCAGUCUAAGUCCCUUGGAACGGGGCGUCAUAGAGGGUGAGAAUCCCGUAUGUGACCGGUGACCAAGCCCAUGUGAAACUCCUUCGACGAGUCGAGUUGUUUGGGAAUGCAGCUCAAAAUGGGUGGUAAAUUUCAUCUAAAGCUAAAUACCGGCCAGAGACCGAUAGCGCACAAGUAGAGUGAUCGAAAGAUGAAAAGCACUUUGGAAAGAGAGUCAAAAAGUACGUGAAAUUGUUGAAAGGGAAGCGCUUGCAACCAGACCUGCCCGCGGGUGAUCAGCCGUCCUUCUGGGCGGUGCAUUCGCCCGUGAUCAGGCCAGCAUCGGUUCGGGCGGCCGGAUAAAGGCUCCGGGAAUGUAGCUCCUUUCGGGGAGUGUUAUAGCCCAGGGUGCAAUGCGGCCAGCCUGGACCGAGGACCGCGCUUCGGCAAGGAUGCUGGCGUAAUGGUUGUAAGCGGCCCGUCUUGAAACACGGACCAAGGAGUCUAACAUCUAUGCGAGUGUUUGGGUGUCAAACCCAUGCGCGUAAUGAAAGUGAACGGAGGUGGGAACCCUUCGAGGGCGCACCAUCGACCGAUCCAGAUGUCUUCGGAUGGAUUUGAGUACGAGCAUAGCUGUUGGGACCCGAAAGAUGGUGAACUAUGCCUGAAUAGGGUGAAGCCAGAGGAAACUCUGGUGGAGGCUCGCAGCGGUUCUGACGUGCAAAUCGAUCGUCAAAUUUGGGUAUAGGGGCGAAAGACUAAUCGAACCAUC